AUUUCAGGAGCCCUCCAGAAAGUCAGAUGCCUCCUGACUCAGCUAAUUUUUUCUUCACUUUCUGUGAUCAGAGAUGCAUACCUUCUUGGUUUCAUCACUGCUUAGCAUAGUGCAAGUAGCUCAGGCUUUUGAGGCAGAUGAACUCGGGUAUAAAAUCUAGCGCCGAUACUCAGGGCUGCCACAUUGCACAACUCCAGGGGGCACCACUCCAAGGUGGUUUAUGUAAAUAGAGCCUAGAUUAACAAGAGGCACUUAAUAAUUUGUUAGGAGUAGCAUCAACUACUGCUUUUUGAAUUUGGAAGCUGACAUGAGUGGAAUUUUUUCGUAGUGAGGACUCUGUGUUAAGAGCCUGUCUGGACAAGGAGAUGUAUGUAUGUGUAUCUAUUGCUUUAGUAAAUGUCAUAAAUGCACACAAUAAAAACUAUGUGAAUGUGGAUGCCACUACUUCAAAAGCUGUGGUCAUGGGGGCAAGAGCUGGGGCAAUGGGUGUUAUCUUCUCUCUCUCUCUCUCUCACUCACUCACUCCCAUUUCCUUUGAGACAUCCUGACCCACCACUCGUCUUCCCAUUCCAGAUCCCGAGUGAAAGGCCUGGCCACCUCUGUUGACAUGGUGAGCAGCUAAUGAACCUUUGGGAAGUUGCAAAGGGGACAGUUUGCAGGUAUCACUUCUGUCAUCGCUCAGAGGGCAGGAAUGAGGAUGGGAGAGCAGCCAUCUUAGCUCUGCUCUCCAUUUGUCUGUGAGAUUGCAGGGAGAGGCUCCUCCGUGCUCCUGAGAGGCCGAACACAGGGUCGCCAGCACAGCUUACUGCUCGGUGUCUCCUGAGCCACAGAGGAAGACGUGGCAGGAGCACCUGGUGCUAAUAUAUAUUCAUGUCUAUGGCAAUGCCGACCAUCUGGCUGGUCUGAACCAGGAUAAAAGUGAAGAAUUCCUCUGUGAAGACCCAGCUCUUUCUUUGGCUCCUUUUUUGAAGCCAUCUUUGCUCUGCUCUCCUCUGCUGCCCAGAAAGUUCCAGAGUGAAGCUCAGCUCUAGAUGAACAAAAACUGGUUGAGUCCAGAGAUGCCUGAGUUGGAGAUGAACCUUGCAAACUUUCCUCAUUACCAUACUAAAAACCCCACCCAGGAAGGAGCUUAUCUGCCAUUUCCUACACAUGUGACAUAUGGAGAAGCAUGAUCAGCUACUUCACAGUCUCUGCCUUUACUCUGCCUCCGCAUACAAUGGCUCAGCCAACUAGCCUAACGAAAGCUGUUUUCACCAUUGUUUGGGAGGUACUGCUUUGGGAAACUGCCCCAGCUGUCCUCCUUACUUGUUGUAGGUAAUAAAAUC
rnacentral:lncRNA from 1 species